UGCUAGUUGUGCGGGUUUAGACCCGCAGCGCGAAAGCUCAGUAACACGUGGCCAAACUACCCUGUGGAUGGGAACAAUCUCGGGAAACUGAGGCUAAUUCCCAAUAACGCUCCGCCCCUGGAACGGGCGGAGCUGGAAACGCUACGGCGCCACAGGAUGUGGCUGCGGUCGAUUAGGUAGACGGUGGGGUAACGGCCCACCGUGCCAAUAAUCGGUACGGGUUGUGAGAGCAAGAGCCCGGAGACGGAAUCUGAGACAAGAUUCCGGGCCCUACGGGGCGCAGCAGGCGCGAAACCUUUACACUGUACGCAAGUGCGAUAAGGGGACUCCGAGUGUGAAGGCAUAGAGCCUUCACUUUUGUACACCGUAAGGUGGUGUACGAAUAAGGGCUGGGCAAGACCGGUGCCAGCCGCCGCGGUAAUACCGGCAGCCCGAGUGAUGGCCGAUAUUAUUGGGCCUAAAGCGUCCGUAGCUGGCCGGACAAGUCCGUUGGGAAAUCUGUUCGCUUAACGAGCAGGCGUCCAGCGGAAACUGUUCGGCUUGGGACCGGAAGACCUGAGGGGUACGUCCGGGGUAGGAGUGAAAUCCUGUAAUCCUGGACGGACCACCGGUGGCGAAAGCGCCUCAGGAGGACGGAUCCGACAGUGAGGGACGAAAGCUAGGGUCUCGAACCGGAUUAGAUACCCGGGUAGUCCUAGCUGUAAACGAUGCCCGCUAGGUGGUGGCGCAGGCUACGAGCCUGCGCUGUGCCGUAGGGAAGCCGAGAAGCGGGCCGCCUGGGAAGUACGUCUGCAAGGAUGAAACUUAAAGGAAUUGGCGGGGGAGCACUACAACCGGAGGAGCCUGCGGUUUAAUUGGACUCAACGCCGGACAUCUCACCAGCUCCGACAGUAGUAAUGACGGUCAGGUUGAUGACUUUACGCGAUGCUACUGAGAGGAGGUGCAUGGCCGCCGUCAGCUCGUACCGUGAGGCGUCCUGUUAAGUCAGGCAACGAGCAAGACCCGCACUCCUAAUUGCCAGCAGUACCCUU
rnacentral:rRNA from 1 species